rnacentral:rRNA from 1 species
AUUGAACGCUGGCGGAAUGCUUUACACAUGCAAGUCGAACGGCAGCACGGGGCAACCUGGUGGCGAGUGGCGAACGGGUGAGUAAUACAUCGGAACGUGCCCAAUCGUGGGGGAUAACGUAGCGAAAGUUACGCUAAUACCGCAUACGAUCUACGGAUGAAAGCGGGGGAUCGCAAGACCUCGCGCGAAUGGAGCGGCCGAUGUCAGAUUAGGUAGUUGGUGGGGUAAAGGCUCACCAAGCCGACGAUCUGUAGCUGGUCUGAGAGGACGACCAGCCACACUGGGACUGAGACACGGCCCAGACUCCUACGGGAGGCAGCAGUGGGGAAUUUUGGGACAAUGGGCGCAAGCCUGAUCCAGCCAUUCCGCGUGCAGGAUGAAGGCC